rnacentral:rRNA from 1 species
UACGGGGGGGGCAAGCGUUGUUCGGAAUUACUGGGCGUAAAGGGUUCGUAGGUGGCCUGCUAAGUCACACGUGAAAUCCCUCAGCUUAACUGGGGAACUGCGUGUGAUACUGGAUGGCUUGAAUUCGGGAGAGGGAUGCAGAAUUCCAGGUGUAGCGGUGAAAUGCGUAGAUAUCUGGAGGAAUACCGGUGGCGAAGGCGGCAUCCUGGACCGACAUUGACGCUGAGGAGCGAAAGCUAGGGGAGCAAACGGG